rnacentral:tRNA from 1 species
GCCUGGGUGGCUCAGUCGGUUGAGCGUCUGACUUCAGCUCAGGUCAUGAUCUCGCAGUCUGUGAGUUUGAGCCCCAUGUCAGGCU